rnacentral:rRNA from 1 species
AACACUUAUGAUGAUCCUUCGGGUGAUUCAUUUGUGACUGAUCGGCGGACGGGUGAGUAACGCGUGAGUAACCUGCCUCAUACAGGGGAAUAACAGUUAGAAAUGACUGCUAAUGCCGCAUAAGCGCACAGGGCCGCAUGGCCCGGUGUGAAAAACUCCGGUGGUAUGAGAUGGACUCGCGUCUGAUUAGCUAGUUGGUGAGGUAACGGCCCACCAAGGCGACGAUCAGUAGCCGGCCUGAGAGGGUGAACGGCCACAUUGGGACUGAGACACGGCCCAAACUCCUACGGGAGGCAGCAGUGGGGAAUAUUGCACAAUGGGGGAAACCCUGAUGCAGCGACGCCGCGUGAGUGAAGAAGUAUUUCGGUAUGUAAAGCUCUAUCAGCAGGGAAGAAAAUGACGGUACCUGACUAAGAAGCCCCGGCUAACUACGUGCCAGCAGCCGCGGUAAUACGUAGGGGGCAAGCGUUAUCCGGAUUUACUGGGUGUAAAGGGAGCGUAGACGGCUUUGCAAGUCUGACGUGAAACUCCGGGGCUCAACUCCGGAACUGCGUUGGAAACUGUAAGGCUUGAGUGCUGGAGAGGUAAGCGGAAUUCCUAGUGUAGCGGUGAAAUGCGUAGAUAUUAGGAGGAACACCAGUGGCGAAGGCGGCUUACUGGACGGCAACUGACGUUGAGGCUCGAAAGCGUGGGGAGCAAACAGGAUUAGAUACCCUGGUAGUC